UACGAAGGGUGCAAGCGUUAAUCGGAAUUACUGGGCGUAAAGCGUGCGCAGGCGGUUUUGUAAGUCUGUCGUGAAAUCCCCGGGCUUAACCUGGGAAUGGCGAUGGAGACUGCAAGGCUAGAGUUUGGCAGAGGGGGGGUAGAAUUCCACGUGUAGCAGUGAAAUGCGUAGAGAUGUGGAGGAACACCGAUGGCGAAGGCAGCCCCCUGGGUCAAGACUGACGCUCAUGCACGAAAGCGUGGGGAUCAAACAGG
rnacentral:rRNA from 1 species